CUAUCUAUCUAUCUAUCUAUCUAUCUAUCUAUCUAUCUAUCUAUAUAAUCUCCCUGUGUUUCCUUUAGACAGGAUCAACUCUGGGUUAAAAAUUUUGAGAUGGAUGGGUAACCCCAUCCCUCAACUGGGGGCCAUGUCUAUCUAAUGGAGGUGGUCUCUUCACUUUGUAUCUCCUCACUGUUAGGCAUUUCAGCUACUGUCUUCCCCAUUGGCUCUUGGAAGGCUCUCACAUCCCAAGAGAAAGUACCAGGUCUCUUCCCCACCCACCACUGCUACAUAUUUCUAUUGAUUCUCCUGACCCUCUGGAUUUCUCUCAUAUCUAUUCCCAUACCUGAUCCUUUCCCCACCCACCAUUUUUUUUCCUCUCUCCCCCUCCCAGUCAGGUCCCUCCCUAUCUCUGACUCUUGUGAUUAUGUUGUUCCCCCUUCUAAGUGGGAUUGAAGAAUCCACGCUUUGGUCUUCCUUUUUGUUAAGCUUUAUAUGGUCUGUGAGUUGUAUCAUGGAUAUUAUGAGUUUUGGGGCGAAUAUCCACUUAUCAGUGAUUGUAUACCAUAUAUGUCCUUUUGGGUCUGGGUUACCUCACUCAGGAUGAUAUUUUCUAGUUCCAUCCAUUUGCCUGCAAAAUUUUAUUAGCUGAGUAGUAUCCCAUUGUGUAAAUGUACCACAUUUUCUGUUGAGGAACAUCUGGGUUGUUUCUAGCUUGUGGCUAUUAUAAAUAAGGCUGGUAUGAACAUAGUGGAGCAUAUGUCCUUGUGAUAUAGUGGAGCAUCUUUUGGAUAUAUGCCCAGGAGUGGUAUAGCUGAGUCUUCAGGUAUAACUAUUUCCACUUUUCUGAGGAGCCACCAGAUUGAUUUUGAAAGUGGUUGUACCUGCUUGCAAUCCUACCAGCAAUGGAGGUGUGUUCCUCUUUCCCCAAAUCCUUGCCAACAUGUACUGUUGUUUGAGUUUAAGAUCUUAGCCAUUCUGUUUAGUGUAAGGUCAUUUUGAUUUGCAUUUCCCUGAUGAUUAAGGAUGUUGAACAUUUCUUUAAGUGCUUCUCAGACAUUUUGUUGAGAAUCCUGUUUAGCUCUGUACCCCAUUUUAUUAAUUGGCUUUAGUUUUUUGGGAGUCUAACUUCUUGAGUUCUUUAUAUAUGAAGCAUUAUGUCAUCCUUUUAAUAGCAGGGUAAUACUCUUUUGUGUAAAUGUACCAUAUUUUCUUUCUUUAUUCUUCUUUUGAAGAUUAUGCAGGUUGAUUCCAGUCUCUGGCUAUAUGGAUAAAGAUACAGUGAACAUGGUCCUUGGGUAGGUUGGUGUGUCCUUUGGGUAUAUGCCCUAGAGUGGUAUGGAUGGAUCUUGAAGUAGUUUGGUUACCAUCAAUUUGAGGAACUGCCACAAUGAUUUCCUUAGUUUUUGUAGAAGAUCUCACUCCCUCCAACAACGGAGGAGUGUUUCUAUUGCUCCAUAUCCUCUCCAGCAUGAGCUUUUAUUGUAUUACUAAUCUUUGCCUAUUUUGACAAGUACAAAAUCGGUUCUCAAAGUGAUUUUGAUUUUCCUGAAGGGUGUUGAACAUUUUUUAAGUGUUUCUUGGCUGUUUUCUUCAUUUAGAAUCCUCUGUUUAGAUGUGUAACCCAUUUUUAAAUUGGAUGACUUGAUUUUUUAUGUCUAGUUACUUUAGUUCUUUAUAUAUUUUGGAUAUUAGUUCUCAAUUUGAUGUGGAAUUGAUAAAAUCUUUUUUUCUACUGUCUAGGCUUCUGUUUUGUCCAAGGAUGGUGUCCUUUGCCUUAUAGAUGUGUUUCAGUUUUCUGAGGUCCCAUUUAUUAAUUGUUGUUCUUACUUUUUUUUUCCUUGUGAUUUAAAGAAUGUCUUCUUCUGUGCCAGUGUGUUCACUUUUCUUCCCUACUCUAUCUUUUGUCAGAUUCAUCCUGUUUGGUUUUAUAUUGAGGUCUUUGAUCCACUUGCACUUGAGGGUUACACUGGGUUAUAGGUGAAGGGACCUGCUUACAUGUUCAAACUCCACUUUACUUUUAGGCCCCAUUUUAUGUUUAACUUGCUCUUAGAUUGAACUCAGUUACUGGGAAAAAAAAAACACCUCAAAAUAGAUUGCUUAAGCUAGCAAUUACUAUUCCUAUAAAGUUGAAAUCAUUUCUGGCUAGUAGAAAUGUGCCAAGCUGCCAUUUUCAAGUGUCAAAAAAUUGUGUAACUGCCAAGUAGGAAAGUGUCCUACCUAGUGUAAAGGUGAUAAUAAGGCAAGGCUUCAACAGCUCGGGACGUUCCACACCCAUCCAGUGCUUUGGAGAUGUCGGAGGGCUCAAGCUUGAGCUUGAGUAAAGACUCUUUGAUUUUGCAUACAUGUUAGAUUCCUGGUAGUCAUUGGGGACCCCAUGAUCUGGGCAUAACAAUAAAUAUAGAUCCAUUUGCAUUUUUUUAGAUGCAGACAGGCAUCCAGUUAGACCAGCACCAUUUGUUGAAGAUGCUACUCCUUUUCAUUUUGUAUUUCUGGUGUCUUUGUCGAAAAUCAGGUGGCCCUAUAUAUUUAUGUGUAUGCUUCAAUUCAUUUCAUUGAUCAAUGUGUCUUUUUUUUUGCCAAUAUUUUGAGGUUUUUAUACUGUAGUUUUGAUGAAAACUUGAGAUUGGGCCCCAUAAUAUUUCAUCAGGCCUGAGAGAAGGGGACUGUAUUUUUGGGAAUUUCCCUAGAUGUCCACUGAUAGGGCAUAGCAGAGAGUGAUGAAUCCAGCACUGAGUAGGCUGGAUGCAAUAAGUACCCCCACCGUUGCUCAGACAGGUAAGCUAUUUUGACUCAUGGGGUCCCACUCAAAGAAAAGAUAUGAAAGGAGUAGACCUGAUACAUUCAUUUUUACAACUGCCUUUUGCAUUAUCUCUGUAGAAACUCUUAAUUGAGUCAGGAUAGCUUCCAGCAUCACUGGGUCACACCUCUGCCUCUUUACACCAGGUUCCAUGAUGCUACUCCAUAGAAUUAACACCCAAAACAAUUUCCUUUCCAAUAACAGACAGAACACCCUUUUACCUGAUUAGUGUAUUUGUCUCUAUGUGUGCUCAAUAAUCCUCCAAAUUUCUUUUUACAAGAAACAUAAUGAAAUGAGAGAUGCUCAAGAACUAUACUGGAUACUCCAGGACCUGUAACUUCUGGUCAGGGAGCAUCACUCAUCAUAGUUCACACACAUCUUAUAUUUCCUACUGAUUGACUCUGAAAACAAUCUGUCUGGACUCUUUCUGUCACAUAUUGUUAUCCAAGAAGAAAACUCUCAAUUAAUGUGCAUGAAGAAUCUUACUUCUCCCUAGUCAGUGUCCACACUCAAGGCCCUCUAGUGACGAAUGUUUUAGAAAAAGCAGCAGAAAGACGUAAUGUCUUUGGGAAUCCAUCUUACCACAGUCAUCAUACAAGUGAAUAUUCAGUUUCCCUACAACUAAACAAGCUAAAAUUCACUAAAAGUUCAGGUACAUCACCCAUGUGGUUCUGUACAAAAUGGCUAAUUAUAGUCCAUUUUUUUCAACAUUGAACUAACAACCGUAAUCAACAUGCAUACAAACCAGAACAGCAAAUAGAAUCAUAAAGUGUAUGCAUGACAUGUGAUUAUACAGCUAGCUGUUCUCAUUACAAUAUGGUAACACAAUUGAGGUUGCUGUUUCCUAAAGAUUCUGAACAAUAUGUUUAUGAACAAAGUAAUCCUAAGUAUAUAUGGCAUUCUAAGAAAGAACAGAUAGUUUGAAACCCUUGAAAAGAUUCAGCCAGGAUUUCAAAAUCAACUAAAGUUUUGCUGUAGAUAGACUAGUAUUGGUGGCCCACUUUGUCACUGUUGGCCCCAAUGUUCCCAGGUUAGUUGGUUCUAUAUGCUUUCUUGUGGUAUCCUUGACCUCUCUGGCUCCUUUGAUUCUUCCCCUUUUCCAUGGAAUUCCCCAAGUUCUACGUAGUGUUUGGCUCUAGGUCUCAUCCUUUGCUGCCAUCAGUUGCUGGGUAAAGCCUCUCAGAUGACAGUUAUGUAAGGCUCAUGUCUGCAAGAAUAGCAGAAAAAUCCUUAACAGUGUCGGGGAUAAAUUCACAUGGCAUAGGUCUCAAACUGGGCCAGUACUUGUUUAACCUUUCCCUCAAUUUCUGAGUUGAUGUGGGAGAAACCUGUCUUGGUGGAUAAGAGAUACUCUCAGGAGGACUAGGAGAGUGACUGGGAAAGUAAAAAGUGGUGGACACUCCAAAACUAAUUAAGGAAGAGAAAGGGCUAGGUUUGAAAGGGUUUAUGGGAACCACGUGACCAGAAACACAUGUGCAGUGAGUGGGUCUAUAGGAAAAUUCACCUUUCCCUUCCUUUCCUGGCGGCAUAUCUGGGCUUAGUUCUUCUGGGAAACCUAGAAAUUCUCAGACUGCUUCCUGGCUGCAGUUCUGGGAAAGUGAUUCACCAACAUAGAUGGAAGAACCGCAGCCUGGUGGCCCUGGAAUCUCUCAGGUCUGAAGAACUUGGGGGCUGGGAAAUGAGCUUGAUCUGGGGUGUGUUUUCCACAUGGUGAGGAUACUCCCAAGAUCUGGAGAGUGACAGAGUGUGGAACCAUGAAAAGCAGUCUGUUUUGGUUGAGCAAGGCUUGCUCUGUAUACCCAGUAGAAAACUCUACUAGGGAUAGAAGAGUGAGCCAUGUUCCCAGAGACAGUUGCCUUACACCACAGAGCCCCCAACUCCAUAAUUCAGUGACUGUCAGUCACGCAGACAAAGCCCCAAGCUCCUGGCAUUCUAGAUGCUCCUCCCCAAAGCCACACUGCAAGAUAGCCCAGCCCACUCUAAAAGGGGCUGCUUGGCCCCUCCUCUCUCUCUUAAGGUCUCUUCUUUCUUUCUUUCUUUCUUUCUUUCUUUCUUUCUUUCUUUCUUUCUUUCUUUCUUUCUUUCUUUCUUUCUUUCUUCCUUCCUUCCUUCCUUCCUUCCUUCCUUCCUUCCUUCCUUCCUCCCUCCCUCCCUCCCUCCCUCCCUCCCUCCCUCCCUCCCUCCCUCCCUCCUUUCUUUCUUUCUUUCUUUCUUUCUUUCUUUCUUUCUUUCUUUCUUUCUUGACAUCUCUAGCCUUUCUUCUCUCUCUCCCUUCCCCCCUCUGUCCACAUGGCUAUGGCUGGGCUCUCUCUUUCUUUUAUCUUCUCUCUUUCUCUCUGCCUUUCUACAAUAAAGCUCUAGAAUCAUAGACCAUCUCUGCUCAUAAAGGCUUGAACUACUUGGAUGAUGGGAUAGGCUUUCCCUUAAAGGCCUCCCUGCGCUCCACCCAUGGACUGGUCAGAAGACUCUUGCCAGUGUGGCAACCACCUAGCGCACCCUCUCUCCUUGUCCUCUCCUCUCUUCGGCCCCAAGGCUAGCUGAGCCACUCACCGGGUCCCCACUUUGUUCUCAGCUCUUCUGUAGUGUCCAAUGGUGUCUGGGAUGCCCAAGACUGAGAACCUGUUAACUCUUGCCUCCAUGAGGCCCAGAGACCUCAGACUGCCCCUUGCCCACCCCCUGCAGCCUGGGGUCUGUAGCUUCCCACAGCCAGACACCCACCAGGGCCUCUGCAUCUGCCUGCCCAGAGCACCAAAACUCUGGCGGGAUGCCAGUUUUCUCCCACUCUCUUUAUUCCCCCACACCUGCUGCCCUACAAUAGAGAAAAGAAAAAAGCUUGAUGGACUCUACAGAGAAAUUAAGGAAUGGAAAGUUCCUGUUUUGAAAGUGUUUAGAGAAACCACAUGACCAGAACUGGGCUAGGUGUAGUGGGAGGGUCUAGGAGAGCUGUUCUAAUGAUCCAGGCCAGACAGAAAUAUCCACCAUUCCCUUUUGUACCAGAGCAGCCAUGUGAUCCCUGGCAGGUGUUGGUUACCCUGGCAUUGUUCUUUAUAAAACACUGAUAAUUCUCCUCAGAAGAACUUUCCAGCCUGGUAUCCUGAGAAAAUCAGCAGUCAGCAGUGCAGUGGCUGGAACCACAACCUAGCAGCCCUACAACUUCCAAGGUCAGAGAUGCUUCAGGGCUGGUAUAAUCAUGGUCAAUGAUUCAUUGAAGAAUGACACCCCAAACUCAAAUAUUAUGUAAAUGCAAAGAGUGUUUUGUUCUGCAGAAUUUUAUAACAUCCCACUUGGGGGGGGGGUCCACCUGGAAGGAUGCCAAAGGAAAUGAUAUGUUGGAACCAGUAUGUUGGAUGGCAAGCUUGGGGUCAGGUGAAUGAAGGAGAGCAAGAAAAAUAAAGGCUCCCCCUGUGGCUGGAAGAUGUCUUCCAAAUAAGGGUACAGGACAGUUUGACAUAACUAGAAAUGAGUGACUGAGAGAAACACCCCUGAAUAUGUAACUGAGUAGUGCAGUCUGGUAAUGCUGGGCCCCUCUCCUGACAAUAAAUAAACAAGUAAAGGUGCAGACUUUUAUAAAAUCCCACUUGGGGGGUUCCACCUUGGUAGGAUGUCAAAGAAAUGUUAUGUUGGAACCAGUAUGUUGGGUGACCAGAAGGAGGAAAGGGCUAGCAAGUUUGGGGUCAGGUGAAUGAAGGAAAGCAAGAGAAAUAGAGGCUCCCUCUGUGGCUGAAAACCCAGCACUCAGGAGGCAGAGGCAGGCGGAUUUCUGAGUUCGAGGCCAGCCUGGUCUACAGAGUGAGUUCCAGGAUGGCCAGGGCUAUUCAGAGAAACCCUGUCUUGAAAACAACAACAACAAAAAACAAACAAACAAACAAACAAACAAAAUCUCUUUAAGGAUACAGGACAGGUUGACACACCAGAAAAGAAUGACUGAGAGAAGCACCUCUGAAUAUGUAACUGAGUAGUGGGGUCUGGUAAUGCUAUGCCCCUCUCCCGACAAUAGGUAAACAAGUAAAGGUGCAUCUGCUCUUUUUUUUCCCUUGAUCUGUGUUUUCUUUUUGUAGUCCUGUCUGUCUUUGAACUGUAGAAUUUCCAAUCUCUGAUUGGAAGGGUGAGUAUAUGGGGUGUUAAUACUACGGAGCAGGAGCAGGAAACCUGCUAAAGAAGGCAGAAAUGUAACUCUAUGAUACUGGACCUGAUAUUAACUCAAUUAAAAAGGUAUAUAGACAUAAUGCAGCAUACAAUUGCAGACAUGAAAUGUAUCCAGUCUUCUUUAAUAUCUUUUCUUUGAGUGAGAUCCUCUGCAUCAAUCUAAAGUUACCUAUCUGAAUGUGGGUGGGAGGUUACUUAUUGAAUUCUGGGCAACUCCUUAUUGGUUCUAUCACUGGAAAAAUGUUACCUUCCACAUUUUGCUCUGAACUGUCAGUAGACAUUUAGGGAAGGUCCAAAACUCAGAGGCCCCUUUUCUCACUCAGACUUGAUAAACUGUUGUUCUUCCCAUGUGGGGCAUUGGGCUAUACACGGACAGUCUGGUGUCCAGUUGAGCUGAGGUCUGAACCCCAGAGUGGUGAUAAUUCACCUACAUGGCACUGUAGGCAUUCCCUUGUGUCUCCUGGAACUCUGGCUCCAGUUGAAAUUAGUGCCCCUACAGCCCCCACAGGAGAAGUAUGGCUUUUAGUCACGUAGGCAAUGUCCCAAGCUUCUGACCUUCAGGCUAAACUCAUCCUAGUUACCUAGCAACAGUAAAGAUAACAGCCCACCAUAAGAGGGGCUCCUUGGCCCCACCUAGCUCUCUUACUCCCCUUACUCUUCUUACUCUCCUCACUCCACUUCUCUCCUCUCACUCUCUUACUCUCUCUCCCUCUUGCUCUCUCUCUUUUACUCCAGCCUUUCUUCUCUCUCUCCUUUUCUGACUUCUCUCCUCUUGGCCAUGGCCGGCCUAUCUCUCUCUCUCUUUCUCUACCUUCUCUCCUUCCUCCCUGCCUUUCUACAAUAAAGCUCUAAAACCAUAGACUGUCUCUGUUUAUCAAGGCCCGCUGCGCUUGGAUGAUGGGAUAGGCUUUCUCCUAAUGAGCCAUAUCUAAUCUCCCGAUAGAAGGCUUUCCUGUGAUCCAGUCAAGGCCUGGACUAAGGACUCUUGCAUGCAUGAGAACCUCUCUCCCUCUGCCCUCUCUCCUAUAACCCUGGGGCCCGAGGGUGUUGCCCCAGGGCCCCUGGUUUGAGGGGCUGCCCCUUGUUCAUCCCCCGUCGAGUGGGGUCAGUGGCUUAGAUGUCCACCUGGUUUCCAGUCGAGGCUAGAUCUUGAACCCCGGGAGAACCUGACUGGUGGUAAUUCUCACCUACAUGGGACGGCAGGCUUUCGAUCAUGUCUCCUGGACAUCAGGCUCCUGUGCAUAGCCUGUUGCCCCACAGUCCCAAUCUCAUCAGGAAUUAGUUGUGCAGAUGAACACAAAUGCAUAUUCAGCCCAAAAGUAUGUUCACUGCAUUCUUCUCCAUUCUCUGGCUCUGGCCUUUCUAUUUUUCCGUGAAACAUCAACAAGAAAAGGAGCUUUAAUUCAGGCAAUAACUAAUCCUGACAUCAGGAGUCUGUACAGAUGUUUGGAGUUCCCUGGUGGUUAGUGAAUACUCACCAAUAACCUAAAUUACCUUUGCUUCAUCAUCAUUGAUAUACCAAUGCCACAGUUGAGGCACAUUAACAUUUAAUCCUUUGUAAACUAUAAAACAAGACUCUAUUAUAGGCUGUAAUUGCUAUUUUUGGUUGUCAAGAUGAGUACUACUGGAAUUAACUCUAACCUAAAUGACUGCACACUUAUGUGAGGAAUUUUUCUUGAUUCAACUAUGCAUAGAAUAUUAAUUCAGUUCUUUUGAUGUGGGAAUAUCCACUUCUUCCUAUUUGUCUUUCUGUGGCUGAAAAGUUUGUUCAUUCACUGGCAUUAGAGCCAGGUUCUUUGGGAUUGUAAUACAUACUACAGCUAUUGGAACAUCCAGCCUCACAGACUGAACAAUUACAGCAUUCUCUGACUUUGCAUUGGUAGACAUAGAUCUUUUACACUGGUUAGUCAGAAUAUUGUAAGACACUGUAAUAACUGCUCUUCUUGUGUGUGUGCAUUUAUGUACUGAAAUCUAAACCAGAUUCAUGCAUUCCUUUUGUUUUCUUCAUUUAACGACACUGGGUUGACUAAUGUCUGAAAAUUUUCUUGUUAUUUUCAUAUGACCCAAAAUAAACUGCUAUGUUCUUUCCUAUGCAGUUGUAAUUAGACUAGGUAUACCUAUACAAUACAGGAGAAACUUCUAAUUUCCACUUCUGUCAUCUAUUCAUAUCUGUAAAGUCACUACUGUUUUUAAUUUUCACUUUACUAAAUCUACAUUCUCAUCUCAUACAAUAAAAUCCGAAUAUAUUUUUCCAUCCCACAUGGAGGCUGACAGACAUCCAUAACUUAAUUUCCAGAGAGCUGUUGCUAACCUCAAUUUACAGCAUGUGCAAAUACAGAGUACUUCAAACAUGUUGAAAAACACUGGUUCCUAUCAUGUGAAAUUCAAACUCCAAAGAAAAAACUUAAUAAUAAUGAAAGUGUGAAGGAGACAUAAGAAUGCUUUUGCCAUAUUCUGUUUCUCUAGAAAUGAUUCUCCAGCCAUCAUUCUCAAUCUUUCUAAGGCUGUACCACUUUAGUCCUGCAACCUUUAUUUCAGUUCCAGGUAUGUAUAUGUGUAUAUGUCUGCAUGUGAGCAGACCAUACUGGAAAUGAACAGAGGAGCGAUGUUUCAGUUCUUAACACCACUGGAAAUGUGUGUUUUCCAAUGGUCUUAGAAAAUCCUUGUGAAAGCGUCAUUCAGCCCACAACUCGCUCCGAGGAUCAAACCCCACAGGUUGGGAACAGCUGUUCUAGAGUCUUCUAAAAUGUAUUAUUUAUUACUGUUCAUGAUAAUAAUGACACUCCCAUUCUUUUCAUCUCUUUAUUUUGUCUUCACAUCAAUACAAAUGAUUUUCAUUAUGUUUAGCCUCUUGUAAAAUCAGGAAAAUUUGUAUCUCUAGGUUUAUUUUCUGGAACUUCUACCUUUGAGAGUUUUUGUAGUUUCUAUAGGUUCUAUUCUUUAAUGAUCACAUUUGCCCUUUCCUAAAAUGAUGUUCUCAGGACUUAGAAUCUCAGAAGUGUUUUAAGUCUGUUUUUAAUGAUUUCCCAUUGAUAUCACCCGUGGCCUUUCUUCAAGCCAAUUCUCUUGUUUUCAUUGCUAUAAUUUCAAUGGAUUUCAAAACCUUGGUUUGUUCUUCAGAAAAAAUUUUUUUUAAUUCAGUAGUUCCUCAAAAUCUCAUACAGACUCAGCAUUUUGUUAUGUUAUGCAGAAAUGCUCCAUUCCUGGUGAAAUGGCUUGUUUAGAAUUCCUACCUCAGAGAAAGUCUGUUUUUGCUUGUUUUGCUUUAUCUGAAUGAGAACAUGAAAGCUGUCAGUGUUUAGAUGUCACAUGCAUUUUUCAAUAUCCCAUUUACUUUUCUGUUCACAUGCAUGUUGGUCAAUGAUUAAUUCCCUUUUUAUAAGAAUGUACUAUAAUUACUCAUUUCAUACUGAACCACAUAUGUAAUAUAGUUGAAUCUCAUAUAGAUUGUUACUUCUGUGGUUGUUGAAAAUAGCUGUGCACUGGUCAUCAUGGUGGCAGAAGUAACUUGGAUUAAACUGACAUAUUUUCUCUAUUUCCUAUCUUUAGUCUCUAGGAAUUGUUGUAGAGAACCUUGAAUGUGGACACUGACAUAGCAGAGAGGGGAUUUCAGUGCAUAUUAGGUGGGCAUUUUUUUCAUGCUGUACAGUAUCGAGCAUUUUUAAUAUAUGCUUAUUAUCCAUCGGAACUGUCUUCUAGCACAAGCUUUUCAAAUCAUAUGCUUCUUCAUUGAACUCAUUUAUUUGCAUCAUGCCCCCUUUGUUUAUGUUUUACACAUUCUGUAUUGUAUCAUUCCAUGAAUAGCAGCAUAGUAUAUCUGCUCUAUGGGGUUUUUUUCAUAAUUUUGAUUUUUACUCUUCUGUAUGUUUUAAGCUGCUCAUUCU
rnacentral:lncRNA from 1 species